CUGGAGUAUUAUAGUGUGGUACGUAUGGUAAAUCAUUAAAGGGUAAUGUGUUCACAGUGAUCUUACACGGUGAAACCCCAGGAAACACAGUAAGAGGAGUGUAAUUGCGCAGGAAGGACAGGAGCGCAGCGUCCUUAGCAACGGAACGGCUCACCUGCGGUUGCUGUGUGGAAACGUGUUAAACAUGGUGAAAUGCAGCCUUCGUUAGAAACUACUGAACGUUUUCGAGCGCGGUCCUUUGAAAUGUGUCGCAUUUAAUUUAGUGGAAUUCUGUGAUUUUACUUAAAAUAAAAAAAAACCCUGCGCAUUCUUAAAGAAAAUUCAAAUCUGUGCAAAUCGAUAAAGGAAAAUGUCAGAAGUCUGACGGAUUUCCAUCAGUUUGGCGGCCACGUGAAUGUCUGUUGUCAUAAGUCAUCGUUGCGCUCAGAAUGUGUUUACAAAUUCUAGAUUCUUCGACUCUCAGCCUGUUUCGCCCUGUUUUACAGGUAGCGGGUGUCCAAUUCACUGGAAACACUUGCGAAGGUGUGUCGCAGGCCGGUGCCUGUCGGGGCUCAGCAGUCACAGUGUGCUGACAUUUGGGCACUUUUCAGAGCUCGCCCCCCAACCCCCCCCCCACCACCCACCCGUCGCGUGCCUGCGGGGGAGACGUCGCGAAUCCCAGUGGCCCCGCGUGCCCUGAGAAAGGGCCACUCUGCGCUUGAACUUGACCGCCGCCCAGACAGCGGCCGCUGGGAGCCGGAGACGCCGCUCUGCCCCGCUCUGCCCCGCUCUGCCCCGCUGUGCCCCGCCGUGCCAGUCUCAGCCCCUUCGUUUCUACCCCUUUCUACCCCUCUCAUUCCGCGCAACUUCUUGUUUCCUCUGUUCGUUCGUCUGAAGGCUCCGCUGAUGAUCGCAGCUCAUCUCAGGUCUCCGUCGCUGGGUCUCUUUCGCGGGAAGGAGCGCAACCGUCCGGCAGCAGCCUCACUUUCCCCCGGGCACAGCUCACGCUACCCUCGGAUGCCACCAGAUGUGCGACUGCAGCAGCAGUUCGGACAGAGUGUGCCAGUGAUGCUCCCUGGGGACCUGUAUCGUGGCUACGGUGCACAGGAGGAGGCACGGAGAAGAGUGGGAGUGAGAAAAGGACGGAGCACGGCUGAGAGACCGGACUCGGAGCGGGCGAGCACAGCUGUCGAUGGCCACGGGCUCUCCUCCUCUCCUCCGCCAGCCCCUCUCCCUAUCUCCAGGCCUUCUGGGAGCAGGGCCGGGGCCAAGCAGGGAGCUGCGGAGUGGGCUGCCACGGCGGGCGGCUAUCCCCGCCGGCUACGUGCGCCUCGGCAUUGGGCGGCAGGAGAAAUCGAUACGGAAGGAGGGAGGCUGCUGGAGGUCGCUCAGCACGGCCCCCGGCCUGGGGAGCCUGAGGGGUGGUGGGGGGGUUCCGAGCCCACCGCUCCCUCUGCCUCCCCCACGCCAUCCCCGGUUCCAACCAGCGCACAACAGGACGGGGCUCAACCCUGCGCCGCUUUAUGCGUGUGGUACUGCCGCGGGGCCUUCCCAGACCCGCAGUGCCUGAUAAAAAGUUUGCCAGACAAUAAAUAA
ensembl:lncRNA